rnacentral:siRNA from 1 species
CCUCGUCAGCAUCUUCCUCUCC